ACCAGCUGUCUAUUGAAAUGUGCACUACAUUUGGAUGGAAGCUUGAUAGAAAGAGAACAGAAAACACUCCUCUUUGAGAUCAUUUAUUUUCAACUCCAGUGAUGGCACAAUUUCUCUCUUAUAGACCAGGUGCCAAAUAUGAAUCAAUGUUACUGUAAUAGUGUCAUUUCUGAAUGAAGCCAUGACGGACAUUUCUGUUUUUUUUAUAUUAGAAAAAAGUGCAGAUGUUUCAUUCAGUUGGAGGAUGAUCAAGAGAAACAGAUACAGAGAGAGAAGAAGAGGAGGUACUCAUCCAUCUUACUGUAAUGAGCACUUACCCAUGUUCCUCAAGCGUAAGGAACUUACAUGUUCCUUACGCUUAUGAUGUUUUGCCUUUAUGUUUCUUUCUUCUUAGGCCUCCUUCUUUUGGUACCUGUUAGUCCUGCAGAGCGAGUAAUGGCCAACUAGCUAACAGUUCCAUCAAUCACACCUUGUGAUCAUCUCUGCACUUAUUGUAAACCCUACACACAUCUUCAACUUCACAACUUGCCCUCACACACAUCCUGUACUUACUGAAAUGUGUAAAGAAGAGCAUCUGAAGGGGCCCUGUUGCUGUGACACAUACUCACAGUCUUUUUUGACUCUAACCCAUUUCCAAGUGCCCUACGACACAUGCCCACACACUUUUUGUAUGUGCAAGUGCCUUGUGUAUGUGUGUGUGUGUGUGUGUGUGUGUGUGUGUGUGUGUGUGUGUGUGUGUUAUCAAGGCCCUGUGUUUCCUGUUUUGCAAUCCUCACCAUGUCCUCCCAGAAAACGUCUGCCGCUGGCUGAUUCAGGAACAGCCGGUUUUCUCUGCCCCCCCUUCGGAGAGGGCAUUCAACACUAAGGCAUCUGCAGCCUCCAUUUGUUUAAAUAAAAAUCUCAUAUCA